rnacentral:rRNA from 1 species
AGGACGAACGCUGGCGGCGUGCUUAACACAUGCAAGUCGAACGGUAAGGCCCCUUCGGGGGGUACACGAGUGGCGAACGGGUGAGUAACACGUGGGUAAUCUGCCCUGCACUUCGGGAUAAGCCUGGGAAACUGGGUCUAAUACCGGAUAUGAACUCCUGCCGCAUGGUGGGGGUUGGAAAGUUUUUCGGUGCAGGAUGAGCCCGCGGCCUAUCAGCUUGUUGGUGGGUAAUGGCCUACCAAGGCGACGACGGUAGCCGGCCUGAGAGGGUGAUCGGCCACACUGGGACUGAGACACGGCCCAGACUCCGUACGGGAGGCAGCGAGUGGGGAAUAUUGCACAAUGGGCGAAAGCCUGAUGCAGCGACGCCGGCGGUGGGGAUGACGGUC